CUGCAGUGGAAGAACAUUGUUCAUCUGAUGUGUGUCUGACUUUAAUAACUCCAAAGACAUGUUGCUUUACCUCUUUUUGUUUUCAUCUCACUUCAUAGGUGAGUUUAUGAACACAUGAAUUUCUCUUUAACCUGCUGUGUUCAUGUUCACAGUUGAAAUCACUCAAUAUUCUGUCUUUGUCAUCAAGUUGUGUACAAUCUAGUUGUGAUCUGAGCUCCAGUUGAGCUGUUUGUGUCCACAGAGUAACACUGUACAGGUGACAUUUUCCACUGUCUUCUCCUCUCAGCCUCAUGGACAAUGUGAGUCUGAUGGCUUCAUUUUCUCUACUUUUUCCAGGACUAAAAGCUGAAGACACAAUCUCUCCUGUACAAGAUGAAAUCAGUGGAACAGAAGGAGAAUCUGUCACACUCAGGUGUAGCUAUCAGACAGACAGCAAUUAUCCUGAACUUUACUGGUACAAACAUCAUUCUGACCUUCAGGCUCCUCAGUUUAUUCUCUGGAAAGGAGGAAAAUCACAAAGAGGUGAAUAUAUUCCUGAUCGUCGAUAUGGAUCCCAAACAACAGCUACAUCAACUACAUUGACCAUCAAUCAGCUAACCCUGGCAGACACAGCUCUCUACUACUGUGCUCUAGAGACACAGUGAUACAAAGUGUAGCAGAGGCUGUACAAAAACCUGAACACAGAUAUGAGACUCCUCUUCAAAGAGGAGGGAAGUGGUAUUGAGAGCACAGCUUCAUAUCAGAUGGAUUGAGGUAAAUUCCUGUUUUCUCACAGUCACUGUGGUUACAGCUGCUGAUGAAACACUGUGGGAGGAUUGACAGGAGCAGCAGAUCAGUGAUGCCUCCAGAAGAGAUACUGCAGAGGAUUUGAGGGGAAAAUUUCACUCACAUGAAAAUCGUUUAUUAAUUAUUUCAACACUGAAAAUUUUGUCCAUGAUGAUCAUUUUUCAAACUACAGCAACAAAUAAAAUGCAUUGUAGUCGUUA